UUUAAUGUGGAUUAAUAUCCAGUAAAAUUGGAACGAUACAGAGAAGAUUAGCAUGGUCUCUGCGCAAAAAUGACACGCACAAAUCGAGAAAUGGUCCAAGUUUUA